UGGAGCUGCUGUUGGACAUGAGCUUCCUCUGGGCAUCAGGAACUGUCCAAGGAGGAAAAGGCAGUGAAAACUUUGGGAGAGAUUUCCUAGAUCAAAGCCCAUGAAUUCCUCUGAGCAUCUACCCUCAUCCCAAGUAUCUGCAGUCACACAUAUGUAGAUUCUGGACUGUAGAAGGCAGGCUUAGCAUGACUUUAAGAUGAUUUCUUCUGAAUUUUUUGAUUUAUUUUUCUACUGCCAGGUCUGACAGCUGUGUCACAGUGACACGGGGGGGGCAUCAUGGAACCAAACGAACCCUGAGACAUUUCAGAAUCCCAUGUGCGUUGGGUCUGUCUGAGCUGGAGUUCAUUUUCUCACUGCAGCCGUCACAGUGCUGUGCUUUGCAUUGGGAGCUAGCAAGGGGUUAAUCACACCAGUGCUUUGGCAACUGCUGAGCAGGGCUGGCACAGCAUCCGCAUUGUCAGCUUCCUCCCUUGAAUCAGGGGCAAGAUCAUGGGUGGGGAUACAGACAGGCCAGUUGAGCCAAAUUGACCAAAGGCUACAAAAGCUCAGGAAAGGAACAGGAAAGGAGGGAAAUCCAUUUUUUUACAAUACUUGCCUUCUGAACGGCCUCUCUGUGUGGUGAAGCCCUGCUUCCCGUGAAGUGGCCAGGCAUCGCUGCUGACGGGAAGUAGAGAAUAAAUCUUUUUAUUUUCCUCUUCACUUAUGCAUACACAAACUUUGGCUUUUGCUUUAGUAAAGUACCUGAUCUCAAGGUAGAAGUAAUUUUCCAUCUUAUUUUGUCUCUUCCUGUCUGGCUGGGAAGGGCAGCGAUAGAGCGGCUUGGUGGGCACCUGGCAUCCAGACAAGGUCAACCCACUGCAACAUUGCAGGGUCUCGUGGAACCAAAGGACUGCUGGGACACUGGGGGACUCACGGAAUCAAGUGGGCGUUGUGAUACUGCCCUGGAUCAUGGAAGUAAAUGUUCCCUGGGAAACUACAGAAAAACAGGGAAUUAAGGGACGUCAUUGGGAUGUACGAGACCUCAUGGAAUUAAACAAAUCCUGGGAUAUCUUUGGAACUUCAUGGAAUCAAAGGGGUAAAACAAAAGAAUUAAACCCAAUGACCAGAAA